GGGAAAAGCUCAAAUUUAAAAUCUGGCAGUCUUUGGCUGUCCGAAUUGUAUUCUGGAGAAGCGUCUUCCGCGCUGGACCGUGUACAAGUCUCUUGGAAUAGAGCGUCAUAGAGGGUGAGAAUCCCGUCUUUGACACGGACUACCAGUGCUUUGUGAUGCGCUCUCAAAGAGUCGAGUUGUUUGGGAAUGCAGCUCAAAAUGGGUGGUGAAUUCCAUCUAAAGCUAAAUAUUGGCGAGAGACCGAUAGCGAACAAGUACCGUGAGGGAAAGAUGAAAAGCACUUUGGAAAGAGAGUUAAACAGUACGUGAAAUUGCUGAAAGGGAAACGCUUGAAGUCAGUCGCGUCAUCCAGAACUCAGCCUGGCUUCUGCCUGGUGUACUUUCUGGUUGACGGGCCAGCAUCAGUUUUGACCGCUGGAAAAAGGCCAUGGGAAUGUGGCACCUUCGGGUGUGUUAUAGCCUGUGGUCAUAUACAGCGGUUGGGACUGAGGACCGCAGCACGCCUUUAUGGUUGGGGUUCGCCCACAUUCGUGCUUAGGAUGCUGGCGUAAUGGCUUUAAACGACCCGUCUUGAAACACGGACCAAGGAGUCUAACAUGCCUGCGAGUGUUUGGAUGGAAAACCCGAGCGCACAAUGAAAGUGAAAGUUGGGAUCCCUGUCGUGGGGAGCACCGACGCCCGGACCAGACCUUUUGUGACGGAUCCGCGGUAGAGCGAUGUAUGUUGGGACCCGAAAGAUGGUGAACUAUGCCUGAAUAGGGUGAAGCCUAGAGGAAACUCUGGUGGAGGCUCGUAGCGAUUUCUGACGUGCAAAUCGAUCGUCAAAUUUGG
rnacentral:rRNA from 1 species